GGUAAAAUGGCUGAGAUUAGGCGAUAAAUUGUAAAUUUAUUUAGGAAUAAUGAUUCUUUUACUA
rnacentral:tRNA from 1 species